rnacentral:rRNA from 1 species
UACAGAGACUGCAAGCGUUAUUCGGAUUUACUGGGUGUAAAGCGCGUGCAGGCGGUUCGUUAAGUUGGAUGUGAAAGCUCCCGGCUCAACUGGGAGAGGUCGUACAAGACUGGCGGACUGGAGUGUGGCAAGGGAAGGUGGAAUUCCGGGAGUAGUGGUGAAAUGCGUAGAUAUCCGGAGGAACACCAGUGGCGAAAGCGGCCUUCUGGGCCACAACUGACGCUCAGACGCGAAAGCUAGGGUAGCAAACGGG